rnacentral:rRNA from 1 species
AUGUGUGUCCCUGACCUCAGUAUUCUUAGGAGUGCUGUGUUAGGAGACAAAUCUUAUAAUUUGGGAGCCAUUGUUGCGCGUAGGUUGCAUCACAAUAGAUUUAAUGGAGAUUUCUUUGGUGGAAUUUGUGCAACCCGCUUAGCUGAUUUUCUUGGUGUAACCAUACGUAAUGAUGAUAUUGAAUUUCCUCCUACUUAUUUGGACUUUAAUGCUAUGGUUCACCAACAGUUUGUCGAGAGGAAUGAAUCACCUCUCCGGUAUCGCUUAAUCUUUGACAGACGUCGUGCUGUCCGUAUUACUCUCCUUGCUCCUGCCUUCUUUGAUUAUCAGGCAAAAGGAAGACAUUUUAUUACCAGAGAGGAGGCAGAUGAGUACGAGAGGAGGGUGGAGGCAGCUCGCCGCCACGCUGCAGCCUAG